AAUACUUUACAGAUGACUGUUCGGACUGAGUGUUUUUUUAAAUCAGUGGGAGUUGUAUUUGUCAUGGAGGGCAGAUAUAAUUUUUUUCCGUGCAACACCACAAAGAUUCGAGGUUUUAAAAUUGUGUACAUUUCUGGGUUUUAAUAUUUUCCAUCUCAACAAAAUUUUUUUAUUGAAAAAGAAGCAUAGUUUCGUUAUUAUAGGAUAGAUAUUGGUGACUUAAAGGUGAAGAAAGAUAGGCAGAAAUUAAGGAGGAAUCCUGAAAAACAAAUGACGAAUACACGGUAUAGUGAAUAUAGAAAUUAUUACUACGACUGUAGGAACAUG
rnacentral:lncRNA from 1 species